rnacentral:rRNA from 1 species
AGAGUUUGAUCCUGGCUCAGGACGAACGCUGGCGGCACGCUUAACACAUGCAUGUCGAACGAGAGAAGAGGAGCUUGCUUUUCUGAUCUAGUGGCGGACGGGUGAGUAACACGUGAGCAAUCUGCCUUUCAGAGGGGGAUACCGAUUGGAAACGAUCGUUAAUACCGCAUAACAUAAUUGAACCGCAUGAUUUGAUUAUCAAAGAUUUAUCGCUGAAAGAUGAGCUCGCGUCUGAUUAGCUAGUUGGUAAGGUAACGGCUUACCAAGGCGACGAUCAGUAGCCGGACUGAGAGGUUGAUCGGCCACAUUGGGACUGAGACACGGCCCAGACUCCUACGGGAGGCAGCAGUGGGGUAUAUUGCACAAUGGAGGAAACUCUGAUGCAGCGAUGCCGCGUGAGGGAAGAAGGUUUUAGGAUUGUAAACCUCUGUCUUCAGGGACGAAAAAAGACGGUACCUGAGGAGGAAGCUCCGGCUAACUACGUGCCAGCAGCCGCGGUAAUACGUAGGGAGCGAGCGUUGUCCGGAAUUACUGGGUGUAAAGGGAGCGUAGGCGGGAUCGCAAGUCAGAUGUGAAAACUAUGGGCUUAACCCAUAAACUGCAUUUGAAACUGUGGUCCUUGAGUGAAGUAGAGGUAAGCGGAAUUCCUAGUGUAGCGGUGAAAUGCGUAGAUAUUAGGAGGAACAUCAGUGGCGAAGGCGGCUUACUGGGCUUUAACUGACGCUGAGGCUCGAAAGCGUGGGGAGCAAACAGGAUUAGAUACCCUGGUAGUCCACGCCGUAAACGAUGAUUACUAGGUGUGGGGGGACUGACCCCUUCCGUGCCGCAGCAAACGCAAUAAGUAAUCCACCUGGGGAGUACGACCGCAAGGUUGAAACUCAAAGGAAUUGACGGGGGCCCGCACAAGCAGUGGAGUAUGUGGAUUAAUUCGAAGCAACGCGAAGAACCUUACCAGGUCUUGACAUCGUAUGCAUAGCUCAGAGAUGAGUGAAAUCUCUUCGGAGACAUAUAGACAGGUGGUGCAUGGUUGUCGUCAGCUCGUGUCGUGAGAUGUUGGGUUAAGUCCCGCAACGAGCGCAACCCUUACUGUUAGUUGCUACGCAAGAGCACUCUAGCAGGACUGCCGUUGACAAAACGGAGGAAGGUGGGGAUGACGUCAAAUCAUAAUGCCCCUUAUGACCUGGGCCUCACACGUACUACAAUGGCUGUCAACAGAGGGAAGCAAAGCCGCGAGGUGGAGCGAACCCCUAAAAGCAGUCUUAGUUCGGAUUGUAGGCUGCAACCCGCCUACAUGAAGUCGGAAUUGCUAGUAAUCGCAGAUCAGCAUGCUGCGGUGAAUACGUUCCCGGGCCUUGUACACACCGCCCGUCACGCCAUGGGAGUCGGUAACACCCGAAGCCUGUAGUCUAACCGCAAGGAGGACGCAGUCGAAGGUGGGAUUGAUGACUGGGGUGAAGUCGUAACAAGGUA